GAAGGUAGCGUAAUCAUUAGUUUUUUAAUUGAAAGCUUGUAUGAAUGGUUGGACGAGGUAAGAGCUGUCUUUAUUUAAUUUAUUUUAGAAUUUAACUUUUAAGUGAAAAGGCUUAAAUUUUAUUAAUAGACGAGAAGACCCUAUAGAUCUUUAUAAAUCUGAGUGUUAAUUAUAUUAGGAUUAAUUAUUAAUAAAUAUUUAGGUUUAUUGGAUUGGGGUAAUAUAAAGAUUAAAUUAAUUCUUUGAAUUUUAGAACAAGGAUAAUUGAUUAAUUGAUCCAGUAUUAUUGAUUGUAAGAUUAAGUUACCUUAGGGAUAACAGCGUAAUUUUUUUAGAGAGUUCAUAUCGAUAAAAAAGU
rnacentral:rRNA from 1 species